rnacentral:rRNA from 1 species
UGGGGAAUUGUUCACAAUGGGCGCAAGCCUGAUGACGCAACGCCGCGUGGGGGAUGAAGGUCUUCGGAUCGUAAACCCCUGUCGAAUGGGACGAAAGACUCGCGAGUGAAUACUUCGCGAGAGUGACGGUACCGUUAAAGGAAGCCACGGCUAACUCUGUGCCAGCAGCCGCGGUAAUACAGAGGUGGCAAGCGUUGUUCGGAAUUACUGGGCGUAAAGGGCGCGUAGGCGGCCCUCUAAGUCAGACGUGAAAUCCCCCGGNUUAACCUGGGAACUGCGUCUGAUACUGGAGGGCUUGAGUAUGGGAGAGGGGAUGUAGGAAUUCCAGGUGUAGCGGUGAAAUGCGUAGAUAUCUGGAGGAAUACCGGUGGCGAAGGCGGCAUCCUGGACCAUUACUGACGCUGAGGCGCGAAAGCUAGGGGAGCAAACGGGAUUAGAUACCCCCGUAGUCCCUGAGCGGGCUGGCAAGGCGCAU